AUUCUCAUCCCUGCAUGGCCGAAGCGUCGGCGACUGCCAGCAGCCACGGUCUUUCAGGCUGCGCCGCGGACUCUCCCGCGUCGACCUCCUUGUCCGCAUCGCACCGUGCCACGGACACGCGCCCGCCCCGGGCGUUGGUGC
rfam:Bordetella ansorpii strain H050680373 genome assembly, contig: ERS1093620SCcontig000002